GGAAAGGUGGCAGAGUGGUCUAAUGCACCGGUUUUGAAAACCGGCGAUGGGCAACCAUCCGAGAGUUCGAAUCUCUCCCUUUCCGCCA
rnacentral:tRNA from 1 species